rnacentral:rRNA from 1 species
GGGAAAGUUGCAAAGAACUUUGAAGAGAGAGUUCAAGAGAACGUGAAAUCCUAGCGGUUGAAGCGGAGAGAGUUGACGUAGCUCGGCGGCUAAGCUUACUGUUGCUUCUUCGGAGGCUUCGGUUUGUGAUGUCCGCUUAUAGCUGCGCUGGUAGCGUUGUUCGAGCUUUCUGACCUGGUUAGUGUUGCCCACUUCGGUGGUGUCUUGCUACCGGCGAGGUCUGCCGUAUUAACGUUUAACUUGCCUUACGGUGAGUACCAGUGUGAAGGUCAGCCACCUUUCCGACCCGUCUUGAAACACGGACCGAGGAGUGUAACUUGUACGCGAGUCAGAGGGUGGAAAACCCUACGGCGCAAUGAAAGUAAAGGUCGGUUAACCGGCUGACAUGGGAUCCGUUCUUACGAGCGGCGCACCAUGGCCCUGUCUUGAGAGCUUGCUCUUGGGCAGAGGUAGAGCGUACAGGUUGCGACCCGAAAGAUGGUGAACUAUACUUGAGCAGGACGAAGCCAGAGGAAACUCUGGUGGAAGUCCGUAUCGGUUCUGACGUGCAAAUCGAUCGAUAGACUUGAGUAUAGGGGCGAAAGACUAAUCGAACCAUCUAGUAGCUGGUUCCUUCCGAA